rnacentral:lncRNA from 1 species
AGACCGGCAAACCGCAGUCCCUGCCCCGCGGGCUUCCUUUACUUUUUGGGAGUGGGGGGCGGUUUCCCUGCUUUUUCCACCACAGCCCCUCCUCCCGCCGCAAUGUGGCUGAUGCUCAUAAAAAGUUGUAUUAAAGAGCUGACUGCAGCCGAGAAUCGAUCAACAAAAGCGACCAGCCUCUCUGGGUAAAAUAGCUGUGCGUUUUUCAGGGCACUGGAAUUGAUCUAUACGGAUCAGAAAGACCGACAGCCCGCUCUCAGCAGCCUCUUGGAUACGCUUCACUUUCUGUCCAGGUCUAUCCACGGCCUUCUCAACAGAUGACUUCAAGUUGAUUUCGUGCUUUAUUUCUUAAGAAUAGUGACUAACCUAAGGGAUCUGAUUCAAUUUAUUAGGAACACAGUGCCACCUUCCAAAAUUACUUACCUAAGAGGACUGAGCCUGCUGUCCCUGGAGCAGUUAGCUAAAACAGUGCCUCAGUACGGAGCGUACCUGUGUUAACUUCUAGAGUGCUGUUUCCGGCAGCUGCUGAAAUCCACGCUGAGGUUAUCAAGCUCAUCCUACAAAAUAAAGUGUCUCUGAUGAAUGACACAUUGAUCAACCCAUAUUCUUCAGACUCUACCAUGUGAAGCCAAUGAAAGAUGCCUGCUGGUGACCAAAUGAUGUUCAUGUAAAAUGGCCAUUCUGGCAAAUUUAAUAAGCUUUAGAUUUAUUUUAAAAACCAACCAGUAUUUCUAUCCCUUCUCAAGGCAAUGUUUUCUAUUUGAGGUUUCACUUGACAUGACCAGGUAGGAAAAUUGAUGAAUAGUCAUAAGAAGAAACUUU